CACGUAGGGUGCGAGCGUUGUCCGGAAUUAUUGGGCGUAAAGAGCUCGUAGGCGGUGUGUCACGUCGGCCGUGAAAACCUGCAGCUUAACUGUGGGCGUGCGGUCGAUACGGGCAUCACUGGAGUGCGGCAGGGGAGACUGGAAUUCCUGGUGUAGCGGUGAAAUGCGCAGAUAUCAGGAGGAACACCGGUGGCGAAGGCGGGUCUCUGGGCCGAUACUGACGCUGAGGAGCGAAAGCGUGGGGAGCAAACAGG
rnacentral:rRNA from 1 species